rnacentral:rRNA from 1 species
GACGUAGGAGGCGAGCGUUGUCCGGAUUCAUUGGGCGUAAAGCGCGUGUAGGCGGCCCGGUAAGUCCGCUGUGAAAGUCGGGGGCUCAACCCUCGAAUGCCGGUGGAUACUGUCGGGCUAGAGUGCGGAAGAGGCGAGUGGAAUUCCUGGUGUAGCGGUGAAAUGCGCAGAUAUCAGGAGGAACACCAAUUGCGAAGGCAGCUCGCUGGGACGUGACUGACGCUGAGACGCGAAAGCCAGGGGAGCGAACGGG